rnacentral:lncRNA from 13 species
AUGAAGGAUACACACACCCUGCUCAAUCUGCUUCUGCUGCUAGUGUACCUGGCAGGAUCAGCUGUGACCACUGAUGGAGGGAAGGACAGUACCGGUGGUCCCUUGGAACUAACCAUUGUGGGACCAGACUUUGUGACUGUGGGCGUGCCAUGCAGUUUUGACUGUGCCGCCCAGUGCUCUCCUUCCUGUAGCUACAGAAUGAGUAUCGACGGGCAGAUUGGACAAGGCAACGAGCUGUUCUUCACAGCUCGCCAAUGGGAAGAGUCCCUAAACCUCACAUGCAUCGCAAGGAAUGAUGACUCUGGGAGGUCCUCUACAGUAUCUAAGAUACUGCAGGUUUUAGCUGGACCAACCAACGUAUCGAUCACAGGCCCUGACUUGAUGACCCAAGGGGCCCCACAAAGCUUCCAGUGUUACGCCGACUGCCGUCAGUCCUGCAACUACACAUGGGGGAUAAAUGGCCGAUGGCUCGGGGGACAGGGGAACGAGAUUACUGUAACUCCCGAAGAAUUGGCCACCUCUGUUACCCUGAACUGCAAGGCCAUCAACAGUGUGUCUGGGCUCUAUGACAUGGCAACAAGGACAAUACCUGUGACAUAUGGUCCCUUGGAACUAACCAUUGUGGGACCAGACUUUGUGACUGUGGGCGUGCCAUGCAGUUUUGACUGUACCGCCCAGUGCUCUCCUUCCUGUAGCUACAGAAUGAGUAUCGACGGGCAGAUUGGACAGGGGAACGAGCUGUUCUUCACAGCUCGCCAAUGGGAAGAGUCCCUAAACCUCACAUGCACCGCAAGGAAUGAUGACUCUGGGAGGUCCUCUACAGUAUCAAAGAUACUGCAGGUUUUAGAUGAUGGAAAAUCCAUGGCCACACAGGCUGAACAGACUAUAGACCUGCUUCUGUUCACAUUCACACUCUCACUCUACACCGUAAUAUCAACAUAA